rnacentral:tRNA from 1 species
UAGAGGAGAAGCUAAUUUAUAAGCGUUUUCAGUGUUAAUGAAGAGUAAGGUGAGAG